CAACAACAUGAGCGACGCAGAGGCAGCAGGGGGCCAGGGCACACUCUCUGCAGGGACAGGAGUGAUUCACACGGUGCUGGAAGGGGGUGAAGCCAAAAGCCAGUGUUAAUUGAAGCCUAGCAGAAAAGGGAGCGAAACCAAGGCCGUUUAUCUACCAGUCAGUGCAGAGAGGACAGCUUUGAGUAUGAAAAAGAGGAACGGAAAGAGAAAAAAAGCAUCCCAUUUCAUCUCUGCAGGAACAUGACGGAGGAAUAAAAGCUAUACUAAAGUUCAAUGGUGCCUGUGAGUUUCUCUUCCUCCCGCAAUUUGUCACAAGCUGAGAGGUCCAUCCGAUUGGUGCACUCAGUUGUCCGGAUGAGUGCCUGAGGAGUUCGGUCAGGCGCACAGAUACGAUUCAGCAACAUGGUUCAGCAGCUCGCCAUGUGCCAUGCAGCUGGAAGUUUGAAAACAGCAGGCCACAGUCCCUGAGAGUAUUUGGAUGGAGUCGAGUCAUUUAAAAGGUUUUUGUAUGAAAAUUUUAAGCCAACAAAAGUAUCUAAAAUGCAUUUAUUUGGUACCAAAUGAUGAUAUUUUUUUUUUUUU